rnacentral:piRNA from 1 species
UCUCUCAAAAGAACACCCAGGUGUGUUUCCA